rnacentral:rRNA from 1 species
AUUGAACGCUGGCGGCAGGCCUAACACAUGCAAGUCGAACGAGUGGCGGACGGGUGAGUAAUGUCUGGGAAACUGCCUGAUGGAGGGGGAUAACUACUGGAAACGGUAGCUAAUACCGCAUACCAUCGGAUGUGCCCAGAUGGGAUUAGCUCGUAGGUGGGGUAACGGCUCCCCAAGGAGACGAUCCCUAGCUGGUCUGAGAGGAUGACCAGGCACACUGGAACUUAUACACGGUCCAGACUCCUACGGGAGGCAGCAGUGGGGAAUAUUGCACAAUGGGCGCAAGCCUGAUGCAGCCAUGCCGCGUGUAUGAAGAAGGCCUUCGGGUUGUAAAGUACUUUCAGCGGGGAGGCGUUACCCGCAGAAGAAGCACCGGCUAACUCCGUGCCAGCAGCCGCGGUAAUUC